CUUGUCAAUCUGAUUAUUUGUACUACUAGAUCUUGCCUCUUCAGACACACUCAUUUGAUUAGCUAUAUCCAAAGAUUUCUGUUGCUCUUGCAUGACAUGAAGUUGUUCAAGUUUUGUUUUAUGUUCUGCCUCCAAUCUAUUAAGCAUAUCUUUUAUAACACAAAUAAAAGAAUUGAACUGAUUGAGAUUAAGAUUAUUCUCAAUACUAAGGGGAAUUAGAUGGGGCAAUACUCUUCCUGCAAGUUGUUCU
rnacentral:lncRNA from 1 species